UUUGCUGACGAGCGGCGGACGGGUGAGUAAUGCUUGGGAACAUGCCUUGAGGUGGGGGACAACAGUUGGAAACGACUGCUAAUACCGCAUAAUGUCUACGGACCAAAGGGGGCUUCGGCUCUCGCCUUUAGAUUGGCCCAAGUGGGAUUAGCUAGUUGGUGAGGUAAUGGCUCACCAAGGCGACGAUCCCUAGCUGGUUUGAGAGGAUGAUCAGCCACACUGGGACUGAGACACGGCCCAGACUCCUACGGGAGGCAGCAGUGGGGAAUAUUGCACAAUGGGCGCAAGCCUGAUGCAGCCAUGCCGCGUGUGUGAAGAAGGCCUUCGGGUUGUAAAGCACUUUCAGUCAGGAGGAAAGGUUAACGGUUAAUACCCGUUAGCUGUGACGUUACUGACAGAAGAAGCACCGGCUAACUCCGUGCCAGCAGCCGCGGUAAUACGGAGGGUGCGAGCGUUAAUCGGAAUUACUGGGCGUAAAGCGUACGCAGGCGGUUUGUUAAGCGAGAUGUGAAAGCCCCGGGCUCAACCUGGGAACUGCAUUUCGAACUGGCAAACUAGAGUGUGAUAGAGGGUGGUAGAAUUUCAGGUGUAGCGGUGAAAUGCGUAGAGAUCUGAAGGAAUACCGAUGGCGAAGGCAGCCACCUGGGUCAACACUGACGCUCAUGUACGAAAGCGUGGGGAGCAAACGGGAUUAGAUACCCCGGUAGUCCACGCCGUAAACGAUGUCUACUAGAAGCUCGGAGCCUCGGUUCUGUUUUUCAAAGCUAACGCAUUAAGUAGACCGCCUGGGGAGUACGGCCGCAAGGUUAAAACUCAAAUGAAUUGACGGGGGCCCGCACAAGCGGUGGAGCAUGUGGUUUAAUUCGAUGCAACGCGAAGAACCUUACCUAC
rnacentral:rRNA from 1 species